rnacentral:rRNA from 1 species
GACGAACGCUGGCGGCGUGCUUAACACAUGCAAGUCGAACGGAAAGGCCCCGCUUUUGUGGGGUGCUCGAGUGGCGAACGGGUGAGUAACACGUGAGUAACCUGCCCUUGACUUUGGGAUAACUUCAGGAAACUGGGGCUAAUACCGGAUAGGAGCUCCUGCUGCAUGGUGGGGGUUGGAAAGUUUCGGCGGUUGGGGAUGGACUCGCGGCUUAUCAGCUUGUUGGUGGGGUAGUGGCUUACCAAGGCUUUGACGGGUAGCCGGCCUGAGAGGGUGGGAGGACAAGGCAGGGUGGGACUGAGAGCAGGCCCAGAAUGCGAAGGGAGGAAGCGGUGGGGAACAGAGGACGCUGGGCGAAAGUCUGACCAAGCAAUGUCGCGGGAGAGAGGAAGGCGUUAGGGUUGUAAAGGUGUUUUAAACGGGAUGAUAAUGACAGUAAUGGGAGAAGAAGCGCCGGCUAACUCCGUG